GUAAACGCACCACAGCGCGGGACGUUUUUUCGGUUGAACAAUAUAUAGAUCUCUAAGCCAUAUUGCGCCUCAUACAUCAUAUCACCAGGUUGAUGCUGUGCGUGAAUGCAUAAAGUACCACAUCAUAACCUAAAUAAAAUCACCAAAAGAGGACAAUCUUCCUCCUACACCUCCUAUACCUUUGACCGCUCCAAACUAGUGCAUCCUGGGAGACGAUCUCACAACCCGAGAAGCCUCUCCGCUACAAAGAGGAUGUUUCUUGGACCUCAUAAAAGAGGACUGAAAUGGCUACCAGAUGUGCUUCCAAUCGGCUCCGGUUGCUAUGGAAACACUGGGACUGGAAUAGGUUUUCUGGGUCCUGCAGUAGAGGGUUUUUUUGGCUGACUCAUGCGGGCCCCGGUUUUUAAAGCGCGCUGUUUCUAUAGGUUUGGCGUGCUCCGUGUCAUGUUUGGACUGGCAGACAACAUGUCACUGAGCCCCCCCCCCCAGUUCCCACACUCCUAUAACUCAGACUUUUUGACCACACUGUGCCUUGUAGCAUAUAGUCGCUCCUUUGUGUUCUUGUGGGCUUGCAUAGCCAAAACAAUUACCUAGUGCCAAGUAUUCAAAAAAAAGUGACAGACAAGAUUGAUUUGGAGAUAAUCAAAUUCAGAAGAGACCCAGACAAAGGAAAUACUGAAAUUGUACUAGAUGUAUACAUUUCACCAUGACAGGAAUUUCCCUGAUUGGAUGAAAGCAAAAGUGUUUUAAUUCUGUUGAAUGUCAUGUUCCACCAUGUGCAACAAUUCAUUCAAGCUUGCCGCAGUUUGCUUUGAAGCUGCAAGGGAACGUUUGCAAAUGUCUCUUUUGAACUAUACUGUGGCUUUGGCUACUAGAUUACAUCUCAGCUGCUUUUUGGAGCCUGAAACCACAAACAUUUGAAGACAGGUCUAAAAGGGGGUGUAUUUGGAAGCAGAACCCUUAUCGUUAAGACGGAUAAAAAAAAAUUAAACCAUUUGUUUAUGGAAAAGGAGAGCUGUUGUCGUAUUGUCUAUGAUAUAGACCACUUUUACGCCAAUAAAGUGUAUUAAAAAUUGCAUAUUAGAUUAUUUACAUUAUUUUAUGUUCUUUUCGUAGCUUGGAAUCAACAAGGAUUGUUUUUGACAGGAUCUGUACAUGAAAGUUUUUAAUAACUGGCCAUCAGGUGUAGUUUUCCCACUGAGCCGUUCAGUUACAGGUGAUUGACAGCUAUUUAUUUAUUUAUUUUACCCUAUCUUACCUUAACAAAUACGGUAACUAACUCUGCCUGGUCAGCCCGGGAAGAUGCUACUGCAGAUACAACACGACUGAGAGUGUGAGUUGUUGGCACAGUCUGGGAUUUUGCCCCAAGGGGGCGCAUUCUCAGCAUAUGCGCAAAGCAACAAAUGGCGCAAAGUCAGCCUGAAGCUCUGCAGCUAAUUUGAGAAUACAAUUGCAGAAUUCACCUGUUCUCCUGUCAGUGAAAUGGUAGUUACUGCUCUCUCUGUUAAAGCAGAGGAUGUGGGUUUGAUUCCAAAUAUUGUAUUGACUCUGACAUAACACAUACUUUAUAAGAAAACAGAUACUGAGUCAGAGCCGCAACGGAUUCAGUGUGAGCCCGGGGUUAGAAUGCGGGGCACAUGGCUAUUUAUUAGAAGGAGAAGCUGCGUUCGGGUUCAUGUCCUGUCUUUUGUUUGUUUACUCCAUUCCAUUGCCUUUGAUGCAUUAGGAGUGACAAUCUUGCUUAGCUAGCUCUUCCUCCGACACGUCAGUCGUUAUGGGGUGUUGUGUGUAGUUUAAAAAAAAAAAUGUAUUUAAUCCAGGGCUGCACAGCGGUCUAGUGGUUAGCGCACAUACCUCACAGCUAGGAGACCAGGGUUCAAUUCCACCCUCGGCCAUCUCUGUGUGGAGUUUGCAUGUUCUCCCCGUGCAUGCGUGGGUUUUCUCCGGGUACUCCGGUUUCCUCCCACAUUCCAAAAACAUGCUAGGUUAAUUGGCGACUCCAAAUUGUCCAUAGGUAUGAAUGUGAGUGUGAAUGGUUGUUUGUCUAUAUAUGUGCCCUGUGAUUGGCUAGCGACCAGUCCAGGGUGUACCCCGCCUCUGGCCCAAAGACAGCUGGGAUAGGCUCCAGCACCCCCGCAACCCUUGUGAGGAUAAGCGGUAGAAAAUGAAUGAAUGAAUGAAUGUAUUUUAUCCAUUUUGGAAUAAAGCUGUGACCUAAAAAAAUGUAGUAAAGGUGAAGUACUGCGAAUACUUUCCGAAUGCACCUUGUGCUUUAAAAUAUUGUUUGUGCUCCUCAGCUUUAGUUGAUCUCUGCUGCUAAGGCAUCAUUGCUUCUGUGGCUAUGACCACAUAUUCAAAAGAGCAUUUGUGCAUGUAAAAAAAGUGAGUCCAAAACAAAGCUGCAUUGCCUCCAAGCUCCAAUUACCAAUCACGUGACUGUCUCCCCCAUGCCCAUUCUUCUAUGCAUCCUCUAUCUUUAAUGCUGUCACAGUGGUGUCCCUCUAAGGAGGACAUGUAUGAUUGCGUGUGAUUAAGUCCCAUUACAGACUUUCCACUGUUUCCUUUGUGAAAGGAGCUCUUGUCCCUGAUGCAGAAUGAUCCAAACUAACAGUCCCCUUGUUUUCUCUGUUUCUUUGAAGAGCUUCCUAUCGACUCUGGGACCCUGUGGCCCAAAGCCAGAGGAAGGGUCACAUAUCAAGGACCAAACACAAUUGGACGUUUAUUGGAUUAUGAGUCAAUAUGUACUUUUUCCACUGCACAGAUGUUCUAGACUUGCAAUAACAACUGUCUCCAAGAUGAAUAUGGGUCAGGCCACACUGAUUUACACUCAAUAAUACUUGGAAGAGCCAUACAUGGCUGGCGAGCCAUAGGUUCCCAACCCCUGCUCUGUAGAGAACUACAAUUGGUCUCACAGUAGCAACAUUGUAUUUCUUUUUUUAAUUCCAGGUAAUUAAACGAGGAAAACCGACUUAGUGACCAUACACAAAUAUUCUAAAAACAAACCACAAAGGGACACAAAAACACUUUACAGCUGGUAACCAUGUUGCAGCAUUUUGAGGUCCAAAUGCAGGCCCAUAAAAAGAAGAGUCAUGCUUACACAAAGGUUAUGGUUUUAUGUAUGCCAUGGUGUCAUCAGUGGUAUCAUAGUAUUGUUCAAUCGUUCCUGUAAUGAGUAGGGGGGGAGGUAAGGAGGUUACAGUUUUCCUGAAAAAAAUGCCUUAUAAUUACACUCUGCGUCAUGCAGUUACAUAAACAAUAACAUCAACAGAGUAGAAUUAUGAGAACUUUACAGGAUGGAAUUUUAAAAAAAAAAUCCAAAAUAAGCAAAAUAACACAAAGGGGUAUAAAGCCCACACUGACAAAACAAUUAUCUGAAGUUGAAAAUGAAGUAAUAUUGCAAGACAAAAUAACACAAUAUUACAAUAAGUUUGUUUGAUUUUUGCAAGAAAUAUUGUCUCCUUUAAGAAGAAAGUUUUAUUUAUGAUAUCUCGAAGAAAACUGUCUCGGUUAUAAUAAAAUAUUACGAGAAAAAAACAGACCAUUUGCGUCAAAAGCAGGAAGUCCAUGGAAACACGGCAAAAAGAGGUGCAGAAUCUGGAAGAUCUAGAAAGCUUUCUGGGCGGGUUAUCUUGUGUAGCUGCCCUAUAUGAGUCCAUAGAGAGUGUUUAAUCAAGCGGGAAAUGUUAGAAAAUGUUAAUGCCUGUUUGAGAAAACUGUACAUAUAUUAAUUGUAAAAAAUAAAGUUGGCAAUUUUGCGGACUUCAUCUAUUGAGGACUAUUUUUGGAAUGUAUCCCUUGCGAUAAACGAGGUAACAUUGUAAUUGUUAUUUUUUAUUUUU